rnacentral:lncRNA from 1 species
GGAGGAUGAAUGUUAAUCACGUUGGUUUUCCAUGGGUUGAAUGAAAAGAGGUUUUCCAUUUUAAUUUUUUUUUCAAAGGCUGGAACGUGUGGAGAGGGGGCUGGAACGUCCAAGUCACUUCACUUUCUUUUAGCAUUUUUUUUAUUUUAUUUGUUACCAAUGUUGAUUGAUGGGAAACAUUAUACUCUAAUGGUGCUCAC